AUCCGGCUGACGAGUCCAAAACGGGAAGAAACUCGCGUCUUGGAU
rfam:Schistosoma margrebowiei strain Zambia genome assembly, scaffold: SMRZ_scaffold0000673